GGUCUGAGAGGAUGAUCCGCCACACUGGGACUGAGACACGGCCCAGACUCCUACGGGAGGCAGCAGUGGGGAAUUUUGGACAAUGGGCGCAAGCCUGAUCCAGCCAUGCCGCGUGUCUGAAGAAGGCCUUCGGGUUGUAAAGGACUUUUGUCAGGGAGGAAAUCCCUAGCGCUAAUAUCGCUGGGGGAUGACAGUACCUGAAGAAUAAGCACCGGCUAACUACGUGCCAGCAGCCGCGGUAAUACGUAGGGUGCAAGCGUUAAUCGGAAUUACUGGGCGUAAAGCGUGCGCAGGCGGUUGUGUAAGUCUGAUGUGAAAGCCCCGGGCUCAACCUGGGAACUGCAUUGGAGACUG
rnacentral:rRNA from 1 species